AGUGAACGCUGGCGGUAGGCCUAACACAUGCAAGUCGAACGGCAGCACAGUAAGAGCUUGCUCUUACGGGUGGCGAGUGGCGGACGGGAGAGGAAUAUAUCGGAAUCUACUUUUUCGUGGGGGAUAACGUAGGGAAACUUACGCUAAUACCGCAUACGACCUACGGGUGAGAGCAGGGGAUCUUCGCACCUUGCGCGAUUGAAUGAGCCGAUGUCGGAUUAGCUAGUUGGCGGGGUAAAGGCCCACCAAGGCGACGAUCCGUAGCUGGUCUGAGAGGAUGAUCAGCCACACUGGAACGGAGACACGGACCAGACUCCUACGGGAGGCAGCAGUGGGGAAUAUUGGACAAUGGGCGCAAGCCUGAUCCAGCCAUACCGCGUGGGUGAAGAAGGCCUUCGGGUUGUAAAGCCCUUUUGUUGGGAAAGAAAAGCAGCAGGUUAAGACCCCGCUGUUCUGACGGUACCCAAAGAAUAAGCACCGGCUAACUACGUG
rnacentral:rRNA from 1 species